ACGAACGCUGGCGGCGUGCUUAACACAUGCAAGUCGAACGGAAAGGCCCUGCUUUUGUGGGGUGCUCGAGUGGCGAACGGGUGAGUAACACGUGAGUAACCUGCCCUUGACUUUGGGAUAACUUCAGGAAACUGGGGCUAAUACCGGAUAGGAGCUCCUGCUGCAUGGUGGGGGUUGGAAAGUUUCGGCGGUUGGGGAUGGACUCGCGGCUUAUCAGCUUGUUGGUGGGGUAGUGGCUUACCAAGGCUUUGACGGGUAGCCGGCCUGAGAGGGUGACCGGCCACAUUGGGACUGAGAUACGGCCCAGACUCCUACGGGAGGCAGCAGUGGGGAAUAUUGCACAAUGGGCGGAAGCCUGAUGCAGCAACGCCGCGUGCGGGAUGACGGCCUUCGGGUUGUAAACCGCUUUCGCCUGUGACAAAGCGUGAGUGACGGUAAUGGGUAAAGAAGCACCGGCUAACUACGUG
rnacentral:rRNA from 1 species